ensembl:lncRNA
CAGGGCCACGCGUGCUCGGGAGCGAGGGCUGCUUGCGGGCAGCCUGAUCCCAUCGCCGUGUCCUGCCUAGGAAGCUCUACGGACGUGCUUUGGUGCCUGAUCUCAUUAAUGGGUGAGAGAGAGGCUUCUUCGCAGUUCCUGUCUCCUGGAGCAGAUUUCAGCCUUUGAAUUAAGCACCAGUUCACUCUCGGUGCUACAGGGGAUAAAGAGAAUAUUCCAGUCCCUGCAUCCAUCACAGCUGCUCUGCCAAGCAAAGUUAACAAGUAAACAGUAAUCGCCCACAAUUAUUGCCCAUUACAUGCUCUCUUCACCUGAGAUCACACAACAAAGCGUGAGCGUGGAGCCACGGGAGGAGCUGGGUGGCAAGGAGCUGUCAAGAUGAAAUAACAGCAAAAAGACCUGUCAAACGCUGCCUCUGUGAAAGACCUAAAUCCUCUCCUGAUGGCCCCUUGGUGCAGUGUAGAAGAGCUACUUCUGUGUAAUUAUAAAUUGUCUGCAGGGCUUAUCUGAGAGGUUCAGGGUUGACAUUACAAUAAUAGGGUGGGUGAGCUUUAUUUAAGGGAUAAUGUUCCUGGCGGUGGUGUAUACAUGGCAAUAAAUGAGUGUGGCGAAUGAUUAACGGCAGCAGGAAGCCUGCAUGGCCCCUACUGCGUGGCCAGGGGAGGAGAGCCGGGCAGGUCCUUGUGUGCAGGGCAGUCCUGUGGGUCCCCAUGCGUCAGCCCACGCAUGGCACAGGGCCCACGUGUGAACUGGGACUGUGUGUCACUCAGGGCUCUGUGCUGGGGGGCUGUGAUGGGUGCACGCCGGAGGUGCAUGCAGGAUGGGCCGGGCCGUAUCCAGAGUGGGGAGAGGCAGGAUUUGUGUCCCCUCACUCUGAACGUGGGCCAGUGCAGUGCCUCCAUGAAAGCUGUCUGCCCGGGCUCUUUUUAUAGCAGCAGAGAGGGAAGGGCAGUUUGACGGUGUGGUACACCUGACCUACUUUAUAUGCUUACCUUAGGGUGAAUGGAACUGUUCUCAGAAUUGCAUUUUCUCUCUAUCUUCUAUAUAGAGAAGAAAGUAAGCUCAGAUGUGGACCUGUAAGCCAGGAAGGGUUGAUCCCGCUGGAAAUACAUUGCUUCCUUCAGCCAGCGGGUUUUUUUUUGUUUUUUUUGUUUUUUUUAGCAUGCUCCUCUCAUUCUACUGCAUCUUAAGAAUGAAUUUGCUACAUUGUUUUCAUAGAAGUGUUAGUUAAAAAGAGAGUGCAGAAAGAGAGCUUUGCACCUGAGCCAUACCUGACGUCCUGCCAGGCGAGGCUCCUCCCCUGCUCCCAUCCUGCAGACGGGGGCAGUAAUGCUGGGGAUGGAGGGGCUGCUGUGAGUCCCGCUGCUUGCAGGGAAGCUGUGCACGGCAGUUGGUGUGCCUGUGAUGGUGGGCAUCAAGGGGCUGCCCACCAGCCCUUUGUUGGAGAGCCCCACGGCGUGAGUGCUGCGCGUCCUGGCACUGAAGCCAAGCCUGAAGUCUGGCACUUCGUGUUGGAGGAAGAAAAUGGACCGUGGAUGCACGGUGUCCGGCUCAAACGUGUCCAAAGCCGAAACGGGAGGCAGCUGUGAUGUUAUUGCAGCGGAACGUCGUGGGAGGGCAGCUCUGCUCAGGGCAGCAGCCCUGCUCUCUUCACGCCGGGUUGCAGCGAAUUGCAGGGCUGCAUUACUCUUCCAAGGGGAGGGAGCACAUCCCUGCUCCUGAGUGCAGGCAGCGCCCGGCCGGAUGGGUUUCCUGCAGGGGAGGCGGACUCCCCAACUGCCCCCGGUGAUGGGAAAGCAGUAGAAAGGCGACGUGAGCUCCGAUCCCGUUACCAAUCAAAGACACUGAUUGAGACUGGGGGAGCUGCCGGGCUGGUCCCACUCGGGAGAGUUAGUGGUGAUAUUAACUGGAGGAAAUUCUACAGACAUCCACUUGUCUGCUAAGAGAGCUUUGACUCCAUUACCUCAUGGCUCACACGCUGGGAUGAUUUCAACAGCUGUAAGCCACAAAUAUUAAUCUUUUCCUGACCUGUGCACCUGGAAGAUGACGAUAUGCUACCAGAUUCCAGGAGCAGGCAAACUGGUUCCUUGCAGCUUGGCACGGGAGCACCAGGGCCGUUGUGUCGUGGUUGCCAUGAGAUUAAAUCUGGUGAAGCUGUUGGUAAUAACCAAGCUCCUGCCCGUCCCCCUGCCACAGGACAAACCAUGUACGAGAUUGUUCUCCCAUGGAGCUCAUGAAGAACAUCUGGAUGAGAGAGAAAACGAAGCCUGUCCAAAGAACACAGUGAACCAAGGGAGGGGAACUGCCUCUCCCCCGGAGCUGUGGAACGCUCCCAGUUCACAUUGGUGUCUUUUACAGCCCCUUUGGAUUUUGCUGCAUCACAUGAACGGUGCUUACACAGAUGGUAAAAAUAUGUUUUUCUGAAGGCAUAGUAAAUGUCUGUGAUAGACAUGAUACCAGGCUGUCAUCGGCACAAGUGUAUCUGUGCAUUGUUUCCCUGUUUUUCUGGGCUUCCGGACAAGUGCCACUACAACCACCAAUUUUCCUGUCUUUUUUUCCUUUGCUUGUACAAGAUUCUCAAUACAAACCCCUUCCUUCUCAGUGGGAACAGAAUGCACUGCUGGGCAGAGAAUUAAAGCAAACGUGGUUUUGGAUCCAUCUGGGUGAAAUAGGGAAAAUUUUUCUGUUAGAUGUCAAUCCAACCAGUGCCAGCUGAGCUCCCUGCCUUUCCCCUCCCCGCUCCUCCUUGGGGCCAUGGCUGUGGCCCCCGGCCCUGGGGGAGAGCAGCAGCACUCAGGACCUGCAGUGCAGGGUGAGACUGAGCCAAUGCUGGCUGUGUGACCCCGUGUGCCCGCCCGCAGCCCGAUGGAAGUGUUGGUGGCAUCCGCGUGGCAUUGGUGCACACUCUUCCAUGGGUGAGUUGUACCCAGUCCAUGGGGAUCAGUGCUUGCUGCCAUGCCUGUGAAUUCUGGAGCCCAGUGGGGCUGGCAGCGCUCCCCAGCAGGCAGCGGGGCAGCAGAGGUGUGAGGCAGCAGGAGAGGAUGAGGUGCCCGGGCUGACAUGGCCAUCCACUGGGAUGCAGGUGCAUUGGCAGAGCAGUUGGGAACCCCACGUGUUGCCUGGCUGCUUCUGUCUAGCGCUGUUAUGCCCUGCUAAGAGCACUAAAUUUGUUUGCAUAUCUGCAAGGGAACAAAAGAUCCUCCUUUAAAGUAAAAAUGCCAUUCACAAGUUCUGUACUACUUAUUCUGCUUGAACCUACUUUAAAAAAAG